UGUUAUUGUGUAUAAAAAAAGCUUGCUCUGCGCUUGUAAGUUGUGCUCCUCCCUCUGGCAUUAGUCGAGGGGGGACACCCGCUCAGCUGACUGAUCAAUAAAGAACUUGAAGCCGUCUUUUAGACUCCCAUGCCUCCUUGGGGUAAUUGGGCAGCUCCAGGGGGAAACGAGCCCAUUUGGCUAACAAUGGCACCCCAGAUGGGACUUCUCUCCCUGUAGGGGGCGCUGACCGACAGCCGAGGGCAAUUCUGAGGAGUGGCCACCUCGAGCUGUUGCUCGGGCUCCGGAUCGUCACAAUCGGCCGGGGCGGCUGCGUCCUCUCUAAAGAGAACUCUGAAGGACACGGAAGCAAGACGGCUUCAGAAGAAGGGGGAAGUUCGACUGCUGGAUGCGGCCACUUCGGGCGGACACUCAACCUAUUCUGCCUGCUGUUCUUCAGGAACUUGAUCCCAGGCCCAACAUACCAUCACAGACCAUUCCAAAAAGAAGUGUUUCCAUGGUGAAGUUAUGUCCAUGCUCUUGAGAGGACAGACCAGCAGGUCCAGAACCAGAAAAAGAGUGGCACAACGGCAAGCUGACAGGCAGGAGGACAGGCUGAGGCUCGCUGGCCAGGUGAAGGACGUUUCAGCAAGGGAACUGGCACUUGCAAAGCAGUUCCUGCAACAGGAAUGGCAGCUAAGGGAGUAGGACAGAGCUCAGAGACAACUGCUUUAACUCCUCCUGUCUAUAAUGACUGCAAGAGUCCUCUCCUGCUGCCUCUCCCACACCAGGGCACGAUCACCCUACAGCAUACCUUCAGCCCAGCAGUAGCUUGGACAACUCCAUGUCAGGGCGGACCAUGCAUUCAGGACUCAUUAGCAGCUGGGCAGGGCUACUAAACACUGUGCAGCCUUCUUCCACCCCUCUCCAGUGGAAACCUCCAACCUUCUCACCCGCAGCAAAGUGAGGCGGGGUGCUGGAACAAUUUGUAUAGUGUGGGUACUGAGAGCCAUUAAACCAAACCAUAAACCUUGUAUAUAACAGAAACCACUUCAAGCCGGGGGUGCAGCAGCACCUCUAGUUCCAGCACCUAUGAAGUGAGGGGAAAAUGUGUAAAGGAGAAUGUGGGGCCAGGGGACACAUAAGGAGUUGAGGGAUUUUGUUGGGUAUUAACUAUUUCCUGCUGUUUCUUUUUGGGUGUGUAGUGUGUAAUUGAAGUUGGUCUGCCCAAGACUGCGAGUGAUUUACUGUUUUAAGACAUGUUUAUAAAUAAAGCAUGUUAUGUUUUCAA